rnacentral:misc_RNA from 1 species
GGGAAGUCCACUGUGUCAUAUUACUUACCCAUAAAUAGGAAAAGAAAUGUCAACCAAAAAAUUGCAAUGGUUUUUAGAUUCAGGACAACAAAAAUCAAAGCCAGAUAGCCAUGUCCUACUUAUGUGGGUUACACUCAAGAAUACAUGCUAUGCAGGCUUCCCAGUUUCUCUUAUAUCCUUUAAAAUUGAUUACUACCUAAUGCCCUAAAUGAAAAUGAAACAAAUUUAAAGCUUUGCACUCCAUGCAUUCUCCAUUUCAGGAUUUCAUACGUCUACACAUGCAAUAUCAUUACCUCCUCAUGAAUGGUUCUUUAGCCAGCAAUUUUAGCAGGAAUGAUAUAUGUCAAUUCCAUGGUUGAGCUUCAGAAAUAUGCCUUAACAAGUGAAGCACAUUUUUAUCUGCAUUGGAGUGUUCUUCAAUGGUUAACGUCGACUACUGCAAUAACUGGAAGGUACAGCAGACAGCUCCUGUCUUCCUUUCCACUCUUCACCAGGU